CGUAGGGUGCGAGCGUUGCCCGGAUUUAUUGGGGCGUAAAGGGCGCGUAGGCGGCUCUGCACGUCCGUGUGAAAUCGCCCGGCUCAACUGGGCGGGGUCAGCGGAUACGGCGGAGCUCGAGCAAGCUAGGGGGCAAUGGAAUUCCCGGUGUAGUGGUGGAAUGCGUAGAUAUCGGGAGGAACACCAGUGGCGAAGGCGGUUGCCUGGGGCUUUGCUGACGCUGAGGCGCGAAAGCGUGGGGAGCGAUCCGGAUUAGAUACCCGGGUAGUCCACGCCGUAAACGAUGUCGACUAGGUGUCGGGGGUAUCGACCCCCUCGGCGCCGCAGCUAACGCAUUAAGUCGACCGCCUGGGGACUACGGCCGCAAGGCUA
rnacentral:rRNA from 1 species